CAAUAGCGUAUAUUAAAGUUGUUGCAGUUAAAAAGCUCGUAGUUGAAUUUCGGGUCCCCGCGCUCGGCGCUUCAUUGUGCCGUCGUGGUGUCCCUCCUCGCCGUAAGGCGUCCUUUACUGUGAAAAAAUUAGAGUGUUCAAAGCAGGCAAUCGCUUGAAUACAUUAGCAUGGAAUAAUAAGAUAGGAUCUUGUCUAUUUUGUUGGUUGCGGACAACGAUAAUGAUUAAUAGGGAUAGUUGGGGGUGUCCGUAUUGAGCUGUCAGAGGUGAAAUUCUUGGAUUUGCUCAAGACGAACUACUGCGAAAGCAUUCACCAAGGAUGUUUNCAUUAG
rnacentral:rRNA from 1 species